rnacentral:rRNA from 1 species
CAGUCGCCGCGGGAAUACGUAGGGUGCGAGCGUUAAUCGGAAUUACUGGGCGUAAAGCGUGCGCAGGCGGUUUUGUAAGACAGGCGUGAAAUCCCCGGGCUCAACCUGGGAAUGGCGCUUGUGACUGCAAAGCUAGAGUGCGGCAGAGGGGGAUGGAAUUCCGCGUGUAGCAGUGAAAUGCGUAGAUAUGCGGAGGAACACCGAUGGCGAAGGCAAUCCCCUGGGCCUGCACUGACGCUCAUGCACGAAAGCGCGGGGAGCAAACAGGAUUAGAUACCCGCGUAGUCCCUGUCUCUUAUAC